AGGAGAGUAGUUCAAUUGGUAGAGCAGCGGUCUCCAAAACCGCAAGUUGCAGGUUCGAUCCCUGUCUCUCCUG
rnacentral:tRNA from 2 species